rnacentral:rRNA from 1 species
CCUACGGGUGGCACCAGUGGGGAAUAUUGCACAAUGGGCGCAAGCCUGAUGCAGCCAUGCUGCGUGUAUGAAGAAGGCCUUCGGGUUGUAAAGUACUUUCAGCGGGGAGGAAGGCGAUAAGGUUAAUAACCUUGUCGAUUGACGUUACCCGCAGACGAAGCACCGGCUAACUCCGUGCCAGCAGCCGCGGUAAUACGGAGGGUGCAAGCGUUAAUCGGAAUUACUGGGCGUAAAGCGCACGCAGGCGGUCUGUCAAGUCGGAUGUGAAAUCCCCGGGCUCAACCUGGGAACUGCAUUCGAAACUGGCAGGCUGGAGUCUUGUAGAGGGGGGUAGAAUUCCAGGUGUAGCGGUGAAAUGCGUAGAGAUCUAGAGGAAUACCGGUGGCGAAGGCGGCCCCCUGGACAAAGACUGACGCUCAGGUGCGAAAGCGUGGGGGGCAAACAGGAUUAGAUACCCGCGUAGUC